UACGAAGGGGGCUAGCGUUGCUCGGAAUCACUGGGCGUAAAGGGUGCGUAGGCGGGUCUUUAAGUCGAGGGGUGAAUCCUGGAGCUCAACUCCAGAACUGCCUUUGAUACUGAGGAUCUUGAGUUCGGGAGAGGUGAGUGGAACUGCGAGUGUAGAGGUGAAAUUCGUAGAUAUUCGCAAGAACACCAGUGGCGAAGGCGGCUCACUGGCCCGGUACUGACGCUGAGGUGCGAAAGCGUGGGAGCAAACAGG
rnacentral:rRNA from 1 species